CUCUUAAGUGCAGUUCAUGUGCGUGCAUUGAAAGACCCCCAGAGUGGGGAGACCCUCACUCAAGACUCGGGAUGAUGCAACCUCCCAAGAACUCACACAAGACC
rnacentral:pre_miRNA from 14 species